rnacentral:rRNA from 1 species
UUGCGGUUAAAACGCUCGUAGUUGGAUAUCUGCUAAGGGGUUCCGGUCCUUCCAAGUGGAGAAUACGCGGAACUCUUCUUGGCAUUUGUUCAGGGAAGAUGUUUGCUCUUCAUUGAGUGUCAUUUGAUCUGAAUUUUUACUUUGAGGAAAUGAGAGUGUUUCAAGCAGGCUUUCGCCGUGAAUAUGAUAGCAUGGAAUAAUAGCAAAGACCGUGUGUCAGCGCUGUUGGUUGUUGGCACGUGGUAAGUUUUAAUAAGGAUAGUUGGGGGUAUUCGUAUUUAACUGUCAGAGGUGAAAUUCUUGGAUUUUUUA